GAUGAACGCUGGCGGCGUGCCUAAUACAUGCAAGUCGAGCGAACGGACGAGAAGCUUGCUUCUCUGAUGUUAGCGGCGGACGGGUGAGUAACACGUGGAUAACCUACCUAUAAGACUGGGAUAACUUCGGGAAACCGGAGCUAAUACCGGAUGAUAUUUUGAACCGCAUGGUUCAAAAGUGAAAGACGGUCUUGCUGUCACUUAUAGAUGGAUCCGCGCUGCAUUAGCUAGUUGGUAAGGUAACGGCUUACCAAGGCAACGAUGCAUAGCCGACCUGAGAGGGUGAUCGGCCACACUGGAACUGAGACACGGUCCACACUCCUACGGGAGGCAGCAGUAGGGAAUCUUCCGCAAUGGGCGAAAGCCUGACGGAGCAACGCCGCGUGAGUGAUGAAGGUCUUCGGAUCGUAAAACUCUGUUAUUAGGGAAGAACAUAUGUGUAAGUAACUGUGCACAUCUUGACGGUACCUAAUCAGAAAGCCACGGCUAACUACGUG
rnacentral:rRNA from 1 species